rnacentral:rRNA from 1 species
AUUGAACGCUGGCGGAAUGCUUUACACAUGCAAGUCGAACGGCAGCACGGGUGCUUGCACCUGGUGGCGAGUGGCGAACGGGUGAGUAAUAUAUCGGAACGUAUCCAAUAAUGGGGGAUAACUAGCCGAAAGGUUAGCUAAUACCGCAUACGCCCUGAGGGGGAAAGCUGGGGAUCGUAAGACCUAGCGUUGAUGGAGCGGCCGAUAUCUGAUUAGCUAGUUGGUGGGGUAAGAGCCUACCAAGGCGACGAUCAGUAGCUGGUCUGAGAGGACGAGCGACGAUACUGGAACUGAGACACGGUCCAGACUCCUACGGGAGGGAUGAGUGGGGAAUGUUGUACAAUGGGGGCAACCCUGAUCCUGCCAUUCCGCGUGAGUGAAGAAGGCCUUCGGGUUGUAAAGCUCUUUCGCAAGGGAAGAAAACUCGAUCUCUAAUAGAGGUUGAGGCUGACGGUACCUUGAUAAGAAGCACCGGCUAACUCCGUGCCAGCAGCCGCCGUAA